AGCUUUGCUAGUGGCAGUAUCGCAGCCAAUGAGGUUUAUCCGAGGCACGAUUAUUGCUAAUUAAAAAAACAAACAAAAAAACUACCGUCUCACAAUCUUUUUUUAAUAUGUAUUUUUAUUAAUUUCACAGAGGAA